UACCCGGUGGUGUAAUCGGUAACACAGAGGUUUUUGGUACCUCCAUUCAUGGUUCGACUCCAUGCCGGGUAG
rfam:Planctomycetes bacterium GWF2_42_9 gwf2_scaffold_2654, whole genome shotgun sequence.